GUAACACGUGGGCAACCUGCCCUGCAGAUCGGGAUAACUCCGGGAAACCGGUGCUAAUACCGAAUAGUUUUUUGCCCCUCCUGGGGCAGAACGGAAAGACGGUUUCGGCUGUCACUGCAGGAUGGGCCCGCGGCGCAUUAGCUAGUUGGUGGGGUAACGGCCUACCAAGGCGACGAUGCGUAGCCGACCUGAGAGGGUGAUCGGCCACACUGGGACUGAGACACGGCCCAGACUCCUACGGGAGGCAGCAGUAGGGAAUCUUCCGCAAUGGACGAAAGUCUGACGGAGCAAUGCCGCGUGAGUGACGAAGGUUUUCGGAUCGUAAAACUCUGUUGUAAGGGAAGAACAAGUACCAAGUAACUACUGGUACCUUGACGGUACCUUACCAGAAAGCCACGGCUAACUACGUGCCAGCAGCCGCGGUAAUACGUAGGUGGCAAGCGUUGUCCGGAAUUAUUGGGCGUAAAGCGCGCGCAGGCGGUCCCUUAAGUCUGAUGUGAAAGCCCACGGCUCAACCGUGGAGGGUCAUUGGAAACUGGGGGACUUGAGUGCAGAAGAGGAAAGUGGAAUUCCAUGUGUAGCGGUGAAAUGCGUAGAGAUGUGGAGGAACACCAGUGGCGAAGGCGACUUUCUGGUCUGUAACUGACGCUGAGGCG
rnacentral:rRNA from 1 species